rnacentral:lncRNA from 1 species
UUUGUAUCUUAGGAUUUUCAUUAUGGAGGAAUUUCAUUUCUUUGUUUAGAUAUAUAUUAUAUAUUUUCAAAUACUUAAUUUUAACUGGUUUUAAUGGUACUUGCCUUUAAUCUCAGGACUUGAAAGACUGAGGCAGGAGGAAGAUCUGUACAAGUCUAUCUGGUUUACAGCAAACUCCAGGCCAGGCAAAGCUACACAGCAAGAUAGACCCUGCCUCCCGCUGCCCCUCUUUCAACCAAACCUUAAUUUGGGUGAUAGUACAACAGCAAAGCAACCAAUGAGCAUAGUUCACAGGUAGCCCACAGAAUGGGAGAAAAACUUCACUAGCCACACAUCAGACAAGGGGCUAGUUAAUACCCAGAGUUUACAAAGAAUUGUAGAAAUUAAACACCAAGAAAAUAAAGUACCCAGUCAUCAAAUGGGCAAAUGAACUGGAUAGACAGUUUUUAAAAUCACAGACGGCUAACAACUAUCUUUAACAGUGUUCAGCACCCCUAACUAUCAGAGAAAUGCAAAGUAAAACUACUUUAAGAUUCUAUCUCACCCCCAUCAGAAUGGCUCUCAUCAACACAUCUGACUGCAAAAGUUGGAGAGGCUGUAGAAGGAAAGGAACCCUGUCCAAUGUUGGUGGCUGUGCAAAUUAAUACAGGCAUUGUGCAAAUCGAUCUGGAGACUUCUCAAAUGGGAAAGAACCCCAGAAGCUAAAAAUAGAACUACUGUGCGAUCCAGCUGGGUAUCUAUCCAGAGAACUCCAUAUUCCACAAAAUAGAUAUUUGCACCCCAUUGUCCAUUGCUCUUUUAUUGAUAAUAUCAAAGAAUUGAAACCAACCUAGCUGUCCAUCAACAGAUGAAUGGAUAAUGAAAAUUAUAUAUAUCAAAUAUAUAUGUAAAUAGAUAAAUAUAUAUAUAUAUACAUAUAUAUAUAUAUAUAUAUAUAUUGCUCUGCUGAAAACUGAAAACUUUGCAGGAAAAUGGAUGAACUAGACUGUAUAAUAUGAAGCGAGGUCACACAAUUGU